rnacentral:rRNA from 1 species
GGCGUAGGUAGAGAGAAUUGGAAAAUCCGUCUCUUGUUUCCGAAAUCUUACAGGCUAUUGGAUUCCUUCGGGAUGAAGAUAGAAUCGUUGAUACCGUCGUGCC